CGCUCCUUGAUUUUAAUUAAUAAGGAGUCGGACCUGCCCAGUGAUAAUUAUUUAACGGCCGCGGUACUCUGACCGUGCAAAGGUAGCAUAAUCAUUUGCCCUAUAAUUGAGGGCUAGUAUGAAUGGUUUGACAAGAACAAUACUGUCUCUUUCAAAANUUUCUAAAAUUUAUUCUUUAGGUGAAGAAACCUAAAUAAAAUUAAAAGACAAGAAGACCCUAUCGAGCUUAAACUCUUUUUAUAAAAUAAAAAAAAUUAAUAAUAUUUUUUGUUAUAAAAAAUUUUGGUUGGGGCGACUAAGGAACAAAAAAAGCUUCUUUAUUUAAUAAAGACAAAUAUGUAUUGAUCCAUAAAANUCUUGAUUAAAAGAAUUAGUUACCGUAGGGAUAACAGCAUAAUCUUUUUUAAGAGUUCUUAUCGAAAAAAAGGUUUGUGACCUCGAUGUUGGACUAAAAUUUCCUAAUAGAUGCAGACGUCUUUAAGGG
rnacentral:rRNA from 1 species